rnacentral:lncRNA from 1 species
UCCAUGUCCGGCAUCUGACCGUGGCACCUAGGGAGGCUAAGUCCAGUCCUGUGUGUGCCCUGAAUUCUCCCUUCUCUGCAAAAGACCGAAUGGUAUUGCAGAGAACACAGCUACCACAGCUCCCAGAGCUCCUUGGACUGGGAUAGCGAGACUGAGUAUAUAGGCCCUUGGUUGGCAGAGAAGGAAGGAGGCUGUUAAGGAAAAAUAACUCAUACUCUUAAGCCACCCUUGGUCACCGGGGAAUCUCUGGCACCUUGGCAACCAUGAAUCAGCUAUUGCCCCCUUACAAAUAAAAAGGUAUAGUCAUCACCCAAUAUAAAGUGAGACCACGGAAGGGGAAGAAAAUGGCUCACAGGGGUCAGGCCACGUGCAAAAUCUGUUCUUUUACAGGUAAGCAUAGAACGGAAGGCUGGUGGCAUUUAGAGCUUCCUUCUCUGUUAUCUGGGAGGGCCAGCCACUAGUCUUCCAUCAACCUCAACUUUGAGGAUGAAGAGAGAGAAAGGUAAGCGCCCCACACUGGAUAAGAUGUGUGAGCUCCCAGCGGAUCCUUCUCUCAAGCACCAAGCCCCAGUUUUAAAAGCUCUGCCUGGAUGGGGGCUGUUGGAUAACACUAUCAGCUCAGGAUUCCUUGGCCAAUCAGGAGCAGCUGAGAAUAAGGAUGGUUAUCUUGCGAAGAAAAGCCAUGCCUGAGACCCAAGGAGCUGGAGACAGGACUUGUCAAGGAAGAAGAGAACUUUCCCACCAAGAAGAGUUGACAAAGGAGGGACCAGGACUUCUCCCCGUUCCGAUGGAUGGCAGUACGGAUCUCUAAGAGCUGGCCAGGUGCUCCACCUGGAUGGUGCUGGUGGUGACAGUGAGGCAGAUGUCUUUAUGAUGCUCUGCCGGCUUAUAGGGGGUCAAGUCAAAGGAACACUGGGGUGGAGGGUUCGGGUUGCUGUCCCCACCACCCCCUCCCUGGGGAGCUGCCCCAGGGGACUGGAAGUGUGGUGGUUGUGGCGGUGGCUGCUGCUGCUGCUGCUGCUGUGACGCCUGUGAAGCCUGGGCCUGGGCCUGGGCCUGGGCCUGGGCUUGAGCUUGGGCCUGGGCUUGAGCUUGGGCCUGGGCUUGAGCUUGGGCCUGAGCCUGGGCCUGGGCCUGGGCCACCGCUGCUGCUGCUGCCGCUGCUUGCACUUGCUGUUGAAGAUCAGGAGGGUUGUGUUUGCGCAUAUGUUUCAUAAGUGUCUGUCUACGAAGAGAUGUUCUGGAGUGGGGCAAAAAGGAA